GCCUCCGUGGUAUAGUGAUAGAGCACGCGUCAACCCCGUAUGAUGAAACGCGGGUUCGAUUUCUGCCUGAGGCU